CGAGCUCACUCCCAACCCAAUGUGAACGUUACCAAACUGUUGCCUCGGCGGGGUCACGCCCCGGGUGCGUCGCAGCCCCGGAACCAGGCGCCCGCCGGAGGAACCAACCAAACUCUUUCUGUAGUCCCCUCGCGGACGUAUUUCUUACAGCUCUGAGCAAAAAUUCAAAAUGAAUCAAAACUUUCAACAACGGAUCUCUUGGUUCUGGCAUCGAUGAAGAACGCAGCGAAAUGCGAUAAGUAAUGUGAAUUGCAGAAUUCAGUGAAUCAUCGAAUCUUUGAACGCACAUUGCGCCCGCCAGUAUUCUGGCGGGCAUGCCUGUCCGAGCGUCAUUUCAACCCUCGAACCCCUCCGGGGGAUCGGCGUUGGGGAUCGGGACCCCUCACACGGGUGCCGGCCCCGAAAUACAGUGGCGGUCUCGCCGCAGCCUCUCCUGCGCAGUAGUUUGCACAACUCGCACCGGGAGCGCGGCGCGUCCACGUCCGUAAAACACCCAACUUUCUGAAAUGUUGACCUCGGAUCAGGUAGGAAUACCCGCUGAACUUAAGCAUAUCAAUAAGCGGAGGAAGA
rnacentral:rRNA from 1 species